rnacentral:lncRNA from 9 species
UUUUCUCAAUCAGUCCCUUCAAGCAAACACCAUCAGCGCCUGCCACACAGCAAAGCUUACCGCCUCUAGGAUCCUAAACCAGACAUGAGGUCAUGUUCUCCACUUAUGAAGAAUUAAAAAAAAUGGCGAUCAUAAGACCUGUGGAACCCACCCAGAGGAGUCAUGAGAAUCAAACAAGAUAAUGGAGCCCAGAGUGUGUCCCCAACUUCAGGAUGGGCAGCAAUGACAGCAAACAUAAGCAAGUGCAGAAGUUUUAAAACUACAGUUCCUAAGACCCAGCAAGGCAGGCACCCCCAGCCCCACUCCUGUAACAGAGAAAACAACUCCCACUUUGCCAUUGCAUCUGAUUGCCAGGAAGCUCUUAUUUUGUGGGAAGAGGGCUGUACUGAACGAACCCUUCUGGAAUCAUCACCCAGAAGCGCCCACUGCUGACGGGGUCCGUCUUCCCGGCUGGCAGACGAUGCAGGGGAGUAAGAAGGGCACAGACGGCUUCAGCGACUCCUCGAGUAUUGGCAGUGUGCUGGACGAUGCAGACAGGGAGGUGAGCAGCCUCACAGACCGGGCGUUCCGGAGCUUGUGCAUCUCAGAGGACGCAUCCUUCCAUGACUCCGACCUGGCCCUGUCCCCAGAUGUCACCCGCCAAGUGUUCGGGAAUUUCCACCAAGGAACGGUGAGCCACACCCACAGGAAAAGCGGCCUUUGGAGCCAGUUACCAUCACAAGGCACUGAGCAUGCCGGCUGGGCAGCCACGUUCCAACAGCUCCCCAAUACGUUCAAGGGGAGGAGAAGUACCCCAAGAGCAGCCCCCCACUGACGCCAGCCCAGAGGAGACUGGAAGUGCCAGUUUCUGGCCUGAGGAGCAGCAGCAAGCCGUUUCCAAAGUGUCAUCACUGAUUAAAUCCUUCGACAGGACUGAGAGCCAACAUUGUGACAGCAGGCCUCCUCCCAGCAAGCCUCCGGCUCUCAAAAACCCCCCCAAAUUUGCUCCUCUUCCGGAAAGUGGUGUCAACUUCUGCUUUGAUUCUGCCUUUCUGACCGUCAGGAGGGUGCCCGCUGAAGUCUCCAGCGCCCAUCAGACUGGCCACCCGCCUGGCAGGAAGCACGGAGAGCAGGAGUCCCCCAAGAAUCCUGAAAUGCCUGUCCCGGCCCCGGCAGCUUCCUCCCAACACCCGAAAAUUCGGCCAACUCCUUGGAGCCAAAGUUCCCAUCUCCAGCCCACAAGGCAGCCACAGGUGAGCCUGGAAGAAGCAAGGAGUGGGCUCGAAAAGGGACCUUUCUUCACAGCGAAAAUAGUGCUUUCGAGUCGUGGAACGCCCACCAGCCCAGGCUGCCGGAGAGGAAGGAUGCUGCUGAUGCUGUCCCAGAAAGCAAGGCCCCCAGGCAUUACGAGGACCCACCCUUGUUAAGAGAACCCCCGGCCCCUGAGCGUAAAGUCUCCCCCUGCCACGUCCGGGGCAGCUGCGGUCAGGAAGAGAACAGGCUGGCUGCAGGGUCUCUGUCCACAUCUGGACCGUGGGGAUCUAGGGAUCUGGGAGCCCAGGUUUCUGCUAUGGAGGGAAAAGCUCCCAGCUCACAGCCUGAACAGCAGAUGAAGCCAGCUCAGGUCCCCUGGAGGAAACCAAAGGCUGCCAAAAGCGGGAAAGAAAGUCUCCAAGAUGCUUCAGAAGAAAAGAAGCAGAGUAACCGGAGAGGCCCCUCCUUGUAUAUGAAGCACAAUCCCCAGGGGCAGUUUUCAGAAAAUGAUGCUCUCGAUCUGCCUGUGGACCCCCAUGAGCAUUAUGACCCUCCUUUCAACAUCAGUAAGCUUCUGACCCCCGUCAUACCCACCAAGCAUGUCCUGGAGUCAUCCGACAGCCAGCCGACAGAGGUAACCCCAUCGCCCCCAGGACAGUUAAACGGGUACCAAGAGAAGGAGCCCAGUGAAUGUCAGUCCCGGGACAGCUACAAAUCCAAAGCCCCCAGCCUGCUCUUCAACCUCAAAGAUGUGCGCAAACGUGUGAAGAGCACGUACAGUCCCUCGCCUCUCUUGAAAGGCUUUGAUGAGAAAACCAGAGGCAAGCAAGAAUCCCUGAGCAACGGUAGCCUCCUUCCCAAUGGGCUCGAGGAUAACCCUCCAGAAGAGCUUUCUAAGGAAAGACCAGCUGACACCCCUUGUGUGUCGCUCGUCAGUACCCAGAAGGACCCAAAGCCGAUCCCAGUGCAGCCUCUGCUGACAACUACCAAAAUCUUGCGUCGCCAUCAACCAUCCCCAAAGCCCCCUUCUGUGUCAAUGGCAAGGCUCCUGACAAGAUCAGCUAUGAGAAGAAUGACGCUGAUGGAGAAUUGGAGAUGGGUGCCACCAGGCCCGGCUGGUGUCCAGACUCCAGGGAACACUGUCCCAGGAGACACCUGUCCUUGAAGUUUUGCAGUGGCAACUCUGAGGUGGGGAGCCUUCAGAGAACCUCAAGACUCCCAGCCUGGAGAAUGGGUUCUUGAGAUCCAUCUCUCAAGAGACAGAACCUGAGAGAGAGGCAGGACCUCAGAAUCCAAACUUUAAUCAGAAAUUCUCCCCAGGGCCCCUUUCUCCGGAGGAGGAAGAUGUGUUUUAUAGUGACAGCCAGUCUGAUUUUAUGCCACCCCUCAAAAGUAAGGCCAAAUUCAGCACCAGCUCUUCAGAUCAGUCCUUUGCCUCGUUUGAGGAUCAGCAGAAGGCAUGGUUCACUGAGAGCCAGAGGGAAGACAAGAGGAAUGACGUGAGUGCAGGUGACAGUCAGAAGGAUGAGCAGGAGAAAGUGAUGGAGGAGAGUGAGCUACAGUACAGAGCCUUAAGUAAUGGGCAUGCAUGCAUGGAGGAGCACAGCAAGGAGGAAUCCUUGCAAGGAGAAGAGGAAAGUUUGCCGGGAGGUAGCCCCAAGAUGGCAUCAAGGGAGGAAGCUAAUUUCAGAGGCACUUGGAUCGAGGGAGGUAAGGAUCCGGCUCUUUCACCUGCCAAAGACCUAACCCCUUCACCAUCUUCCACUUCAAACAAGCACAUACUGUUUGCAAUUAAAGACAAUACCCUCAGGGCCACACCUGUGAUAAAACCCAUCAUGCUGCCCCUUCUAAGGUCCAUGUCCUCUGAGUCCCCACUGGGCAGUGGCCACAAAGAAGAGGAAUUACCAAGGCCAGGCUGCAGUGGAGAUGCUAGUCUUGGCGUCCCCACAAGCCAGGAAUACCCAGCACUCCAACACCUGCCAGCGUGCGGGGCACACACUUGAAGGGUGCAGCCUGCGAGGGUGUGGAGAGCCGUGGGCGGGGGCCUAGCACAGCCAGGUCGGAGACUUCCCAGCCAGCCCCAAAGGGAUAUGUCGCAUCUCCCUCACUCACAGGAGAGGGCCAAAGGCUGAAGCCACCCCCAGAGGCCACACAUAAGUUUGUGAUGAACAAUGGCAAGAGCGGUUCCACAGACCAGGGGAAGCUGGAAGCUCCAAGGAGCAUCCCCGUGAUCACUUUGCCGGAAGGUGACCUAGAAGAUGAACCACCCCCACAGCAGCUUGGAACCUGUUGGGAAGAGCAGACGCAAAGCUUCAAAAGUCACUUUUUGUCUCCUCCGGGGAGAAGAUUGGUUCCCAGCGAGCUGGCAGCUUCUCCCAAUGCCAACUCCCUGGAAGAGGGCAGCGCAUGCUCUCCGGCUGCCAGCAGCUUCUGGGAAGAUGCUUCCCAGGCCCCCAGUGAGCCAGGCCUGCUGCCAGGGGAGCCUCCCCAUGGCAGCCCUUGGGCCAGCCCCAGCCCUGGCCGGGUGGCCCGGAGGGAGACUUGACACAUGCCCUCACAUGGGAGCCCAGCUCCGACCCCCAGCUGGAGCCGUCAGCAGAAGAACUCAGGACGCUUUCUCCAAGAGGCUCAAUGCUGGACAUGGCCACCAGCUCAGCAGGCCUCCCGGAGAAGCCAGAGCCUCCCACUCUGCUGGAGAGGGCGGCCGGCAAGCCACCUGCAGUCCCGCCCAAAACAGAGAAGGCCCUGCGGCGGGCCAAGAAGCUGGCAAGCAGGAGGAGAAAGACCGACCAGCCGCAGGAAAAGCACGGCGAACGCCGGGAGGAAAAGCUGUGUCCCGAGGACUCAGAGCAUAGGCCAGCAUCCCCCAGAGAGAGGCCCCGACCCAGGUUCCCUGCGGUCCGGUCCCUCCCCCAUCCUGUGCACCGCCACUCAGUGUCUGCCUUCUCAGAGCCCGUCCCUAGACGACCCGGGGGGUCCCAGUCCCUGACCCCCCUGCCCCCUUACCCCGCCACCCAGAAGGUCCUCCAAGACCCCCAGUCUGGAGAGUACUUUGUCUUCGACCUGCCACUCCAGGUAAAGAUCAAGACCUUCUAUGACCCAGAGACGGGCAAAUAUGUCAAGGUCUCCAUCCCAUCCUCUGAGGGGGGUUCCCCUGAGCCAACCCCGCCGGACGCCCUUGCUGCCCCCUACAUGCUGUACCCCGGCUUCCAGCCCCUGCCCGUGACGGCCCUGAUGCCCCUGCGCUGCUCCUCUCAGCUGUCCGCCCCCACCUUCCUAAGGCAGUGCCCUCACACCGCAGAGGCCGCCGGCCCCAGGCCCCGCAGCAUCCACAAUGCUGGCCUGCAGCUGGCCUCUGGGCCUCCCGAAGACUUCACCCCACACUCUGCAGGCCCGGGCCCCUUGGGGCUUCCCCAGAGCCCAGGGGAGGAAGCGGGAGAUACCCCAAGCCUGAGCAUCAUCUCCACCAAUGACCUAGAGGACUUUGCCAUGGAAGGCAUUUCUUGAGAAUUACAGCAGACUAAACAACCCCCCACCAUAUACUCAGAAAAGCUUACAUCCCCUCCCCUAGAAUAAUCACACACACACACACACACACACACACACACACUCACACUCACACUCACACUCACCUCAACUUACACUCAGCCAUUUGAGGUCCCUAAACUCUGGGGCUCCCUUCCUGGGAGGGCACUGCUCUGCUCACAUGACCGGGUCCCUUCUGAGCCCCUUCCUGGACCCAAGAUCCACUCCACUUCUUUUCUCCUCCCUUCCCUUCCUUUUUGUCCUUCUCCCCAGGCCCUCUCCCAGGGUGGGCCCAGCCUGAUUCCUAACAAGCUACUCCCCCAGCAUCCCACCCACUCCUCAAGGGUCGGCUGGCACAGUGAGCAAACCGCAAGGCCCCCAGAAAGGCUGUGCCCUGCUGAGCCCCGCCCUGAAAGCAGACCAUCCUUCUAGGUUGCGAGGGGCACACCAUGGCCACCCCACCCUCCCCCAGACAGUGGCCCUUUCCAGCUCAUCUCAGGGGGAAAUGGCUGAGGACCGAUCCCAGGCAAUCUUGCAGAAAUGUUUAUUUGAAUAGAAUGGGUUUUCUUUACUGAGGAAACUUUCCUCCAAAGGCUAUUUUCUGAUCACCUUGUAAAAAGGGAAACAAGUUUGCAGAUGCGGUUCUGUCACUGGACUCUGUCCUUCUUCUGUGGGCAGUGGCAGGUGUGGGCUGUUGAGCAAAGGGUCACGGCCUCCAGGUCUCCCAUCACGGCUGGGUGGCCACCCAGGAUCUCCACUCUGCACAGUGGACAGUAGCCUUGACAUCCACUGUUCAAGCCUUCUCAGGCCAGGCUCUCUCCUACGCUGAGGAGGCAGUGAUGACGGGUACCCAUGCCAGUCAUCGAGGAUGACCUGGGGCCUGAGUCAGGCUCCGAGGCUCCCCAUUAAAUGACCGGCACCUGGGCUCUGAGGGAAAAACUGUGUUUCCCCCAAGUCCCUUUGGGGAGUUGCAGGGAAGUAUCUAAAUCAGCUCAGCGACCACCCCCCAGCCCCCCACUCCCCACCCCCACACCCCCACACCUCUGAGAGCAGUGAAGAUCUGUGAGCAGGUGCCCCCUGGGGCAACAUCCUAGGCAGGAAACAGGCUGGUCCACACAGGCCUCCACCUGGGGCUUCCUUCCUCUGAAGCGGAAUUCCUAAUUCCUGGGCUGUGGGAAAGUGGGGCAUAGAGUGCCUCCUUCUUGUUUAGAAAGGGCAGCUGUCAAGGCAGCUGUCAGGACUGCCCUGCUCUGGGCCCUGGGGACCACCCAAAACACCCCGCCCUGGUUCUUUUGACAAAGAUGCUGUUUCCAGGCUGGGAAGAUGGGGAGGCACCCAGCUCACCAAGGCCCAGACUCACACAAAUAUGGAGCCUUUGAACAUACUCGGUCGUGAUUUGGAUUCAAGAUUUUAUAUUCCUUUGUUUUCCCCAGAUGUGCAGCUGCCCUUUAAUUUCAUCGUGAAAAUGCACACAAGUCCCCCAGCCCCAUGCCCGUAGAUUUGUCUACACCUGCUAAGUCCACUAGAUGGGUAACCAGGAACUCAGGCAGGCUCUUGUCUGAGAAAUCGGGUCCCCAGGCAUCACUCUCUGGGGUCCCAGUGAAGUGAACAGAGUUGUGAUCUUGGCUCUGCCACCAACUGGCCAAGCAUCCUCUCAUCCAUUUUUAUCUUACUCAGAUAGGAAAAAUAAUAUCGCAUUUCAAAAUUCUCAUGACUCAGGAAGAGAAUUACCUAACAAAAAUAGAGUCUCUCUGUUAAAAAAUAACAGGUAGUUAUGGUAACCAUGUCCCCACAAGGAAAAAUAUACUCUACAUAAGGACACC